rnacentral:misc_RNA from 1 species
GAAAUGCGAUAAGUAAUGUGAAUUGCAGAAUUCAGUGAAUCAUCGAAUCUUUGAACGCACAUUGCGCCCGCCAGUAUUCUGGCGGGCAUGCCUGUUCGAGCGCCAUUUCAACCAUCAAGCCCCCGGCUUGUGUUGGGGACCUGCGGCUGCCCGCAGGCCCUGAAAAACAGUGGCGGGCUCGCUGUCACACCGAGCGUAGUAGCAUACAUUCUCGCUCAGGGCGUGCUGCGGGUUCCGGCCGUUAAACGACCUUCAUAACCCAAGGUUGACCUCGGAUCAGGUAGGAAGACCCGCUGAACUUAAGC